UGGACAAAAAGCGAAUUAUUGCUCUCGGUUUCGACCCGACCUUUGGUCCAUCGACCUU
rnacentral:tRNA from 1 species